GCCCGGUUAGCUCAAUCGGUAGAGCGUGAGACUCUUAAUCUCAAGGUUGCGGGUAAGCGUUCUCGGAA